rnacentral:miRNA from 1 species
GAUCAUGUGGUUGCUUCACC